rnacentral:sRNA from 1 species
AAAAAAAGAAGCAAAAC